CACGUAGGGGGCAAGCGUUGUCCGGAUUUAUUGGGCGUAAAGAGCGUGUAGGCGGCCAUGUAGGUCCGUUGUGAAAACUCGAGGCUCAACCUCGAGACGCCGAUGGAAACCAUGUGGCUAGAGUCCGGAAGAGGAGAGUGGAAUUCCUGGUGUAGCGGUGAAAUGCGCAGAUAUCAGGAAGAACACCCGUGGCUAAGGCGGCUCUCUAGUACGGUACUGACGCUGAGACGCGAAAGCGUGGGGAGCGAACAGG
rnacentral:rRNA from 1 species